rnacentral:rRNA from 1 species
UACGGAAGGCAGCAGUGGGGAAUAUUGCACAAUGGGCGAAAGCCUGAUGCAGCUAUGCCGCGUGUAUGAAGAAGGCCUUAGGGUUGUAAAGUACUUUCAUCGGGGAGGAAAAAACAAAACUAAUAAUUUUAUUUCUUGACGUUACCCGAAAAAGAAGCACCGGCUAACUCCGUGCCAGCAGCCGCGGUAAUACGGAGGGUGCUAGCGUUAAUCAGAAUUACUGGGCGUAAAGAGCACGUAGGUGGUUUUUUUAAAGUCAGAUGUGAAAUCCCUGGGCUUAACCUGGAACUGCAUUUUGAAACUGAAAUACUAGAGUAUCGUAGAGGGAGGUAGAAUUCUAGGUGUAGCGGUGAAAUGCGUAGAUAUCUGGAGGAAUACCUGUGGCGAAAGCGGCCUCCUAAACGAAUACUGACACUGAGGUGCGAAAGCUGGGGAGCAAACAGGGAUUAGAUACC